UUUUGACCUCGGAUCAGGUA
rnacentral:rRNA from 1 species